GACGCGGCGUCGCCCGACGUCCUCGUGGUGACGUCAGACGUCCCCGAAGCGGCCACUUUUCUCCCCUUCCCGGGGCCGAGCCGAGAGGGCUGGGGGAAAUGAAGAAAGAGUGGCUCCUGCGCAUGCUCUGAAGCUAACAGCUUACUCCAGAGAAACUACUAUUCCCUUGAAGUUACAUAAUAGACUUCACAACAUAUCAUUUGUGUAGUUUUGUUUUCAGCUAUACCACCUUCUACCACUCCAAAGUGACCAAAGUGGGACCAUAAACUACCAAGCAAAACUCCCGAGUCCAUAGAUUAAUAUAUGGACUCUGACUCUGACCCUGAUGACCAUAGGAACUGUUCCAGCAACUGUGUGACUCGGUUAGGUAUAACAUCCAUUACACCUGAAGAAUCAUCUAGACAAUAGGCACGAAUUGUUGCAGUUUCCUUUCUAGGCCACUCCUGUAACUCUGGACUCUUAGCAGCAAUGGUGUUUAUUCCUGCUUGGAAUCAGCAUUUAUUCACUAGAUGAAGCCCAUCUCUUUCUCAUGAACAACUCUCAAGAAAAGAUCAUUGCUACCACCUUAAAUCAACAACUGUUAUACCAGCAGCAUCUAUCACCUGAUAACUCCAUGCCAAUGUCUCCAGUAUCCUCUCCUUUUCGUUCUUUUUUUCUUCUUCAAUUGUCAUCUGUGUGCCUUGGCAGGGGAAUGCCCUUCUGGUUUUGCAUUGCCUAUAAAGGAUAAAAAUCUAUAAAAAUCUGUGCUAUGAUUAGUCUGCAAUUGACCCAAUCCUCAAUAAUUUGAGGAAUGGUUGAAGAAGGAACUGUAACCAGAAAAUCAAUUAAUAGCUUAAUCAUUACUUGGAGUGUGAUUUUUAGAAUUAUAAGAUGUAAAUAGGUGAUUUGUAAUAAGAAUUUAGUCCCAAGAAAGAGUCUGUGUAUGUAGUACCUGAGUUAUAAUUUCAAGUAUGUAUUGUUAUAGUAAUUUUAAGUGUGUGCAUUAUAUUAAUCAUAAGUAGGUUACUAUAUUAGUCUUAAGUUUGCAAAUCCAUUUUACAAUGUACUUUAUACCAAACUAAUUCAUGUAAGAAGCUACAGGGAAGAAAAGGUCAUCAAAAGUCAUAGAGACCAGGAGGUCCAGAAAUGGUCUCUGAGACGUGUUGGAGACCUUUUGUGGGAGGUGGAGGACAGGCAUGAAACUAUAAAAGUGUGUGUUUUGCAGUUCAGGGUCUCAGAUUUAGCUGAGGAAUCUGCAGAUUUCUAGCCCUGUAACUGUUCUGCUCACAAUAAAACCAUAUCAUUACCCAGAA